GGAGGGUGCUCGUUGCUGCAAUGACAGGGACCGGUAGAAAAUUGUUGUUGUCAACUGCUUGGAUACUUCGGAGUCAUCAUCACCAUGGAGUCGUCAAACCAGAGAAGACAGAUCCACAGCAAGGCCACACUUUUCUGCUUUGACAACUCCAAAGGGGCAGCCCUAUCUGGUUCUGCACAUCAAUUGCACGUUGAGACUUCAAACCAUCAUACUUGGUCGGCUGUACACACAAUUCAUGUGUCUCCAAGAAGAAACUCUAGCACAACUUUCACCUGCUGAGAUGGAAGAAGCAGCCUUCGCUACUUCAUUCUUCUUCUGCAACAGCUGUCUCUACCAACCGUCUUCAGCUUCUUCUUGCCCUUCUGCAAGAAUUGCCAAGCACCUUCCUUCUAUUUUUUUCUUCUUGAAGAAGAUAGAUUGAAGGUCGACGAUGAGGGCAAUUUUGGAGCUGAGAAGUCUACUCAAGAGGUCCUGUCUCACCUGGUGUUGUGCUUCAGUGGCUAAUUGGGACUGCAAGUCUUGAAACCACCUUCCCAGGCCUGCUGUGGUUUCGAUUCUUCGUUCGGACGUUUCACCCUUGGCUGCCUGACCAACUACCGUGUGACAUCCAGAUGUCAUUCGAGCUACUUUCUUCCUCUUCAAUCCAUGGCAACACUUUGGAUCAUCUGCAUUUGUCUGGAUUCAUUUCAGGAGCAAGAGCCGCGCACGCUACGCCCCGUCGGGGUAGACAGCCAGACGGAGCUUGACAGGCUGCUCAAGGAAUUCUCAGUCAGCAACGCGUUCAGUGGACUUCGCUCGCGCUCUGGAUGUACAGCCAGGCAGGAGAAGGACGAGGGCGGGGACGAUGCAGAAA